rnacentral:misc_RNA from 1 species
UAUUGGAUUUGGUUGGUUGGUUGUUUGACGUGGAUUCACGGUUAUCAAUCUCAAAAAAAGAUUGUGGGGUGGAAAUUAAAUGCUGCCGCAAUAAAUCGCGGCAAACAAAAAAAAGUUACAAACUGCCGGCGCCCGAGGGCACGCGGCCGGGGGUGAUAAUGGCGGGCCUUGCGGCCACACGCAAAUCAUCAAUGAUCCUUCCGCAGGUUCACCUACGGAAA